UUGCUCUCUUUUGCAACACAGAGACUAAAAUAGGAACAAUACAGAGAAGAUUAGCAUGGCUCAGGCACAAAGAUGACACAUAAAUUCAUGAAGCAUUUCAUAUUUUU